GACCACUCUUUUGGCCCUUCUGGGUCCUCUGUUCUCCUCUGUCCUCAUCUCGGACCCAGGCCCCGUUCCAAACUCUGACCUCAUCACCCCAAGCCCACGGGACCCCCAUCCUUCCUCCUUUUCUGUUGCCCCUCCCUUCUGCUUUCCCCUUCAUUGAAGCCAGGUGGCCGUAGUCCCCAGAAGCCUAUUCCCCUUCCAAGGCUCAGAGCCCUGGGUGGGGUGUGCCCUGGCAGUGACCUUUGGCCAAGUGCCUCCCAUGACAGGUGCUGGUGCCACAGGCUGUUUUCAGUGUGUGCCUCUCCUGCCCACCAGCCCUCCGCCACCCGGGACGAUGACAGGGCUGUGGGGUUCCUCUUGGCUUGCACCUACUUAAAACUUCCUCGUUCUGUGCAUGGGGGAGGGCGGACGGAGAGGCUCCAGAAGGGGAAGAGAUCUACCUUUCCUAGAGCUCUUACUAUGUGCCACGCACCGUGCUAAGUCCUUUCAAGUACCGGUAUCGCAGCGGAUUCUGAUAAGAACCCUCUGAAGUAGGCAGCGCCAUCUUCGCUUUAUAAGCAUGGAAACAGAUGCCCAGGGAAGCACAGCUGGGCUGUGCUCACUCCACCUUCUCCCCCCGCUGGAGGGAUGCGUAAGGCAGUGGGUGGCAGUCAGCCCCCUGGUGUUUGCCCAGAGAGGUACCCUGUGGAGGAAGGGGGCACUGCUGUAAGGGAUGUGGGGGCUCCCAGAGGCCAGGAAAGAAUGCCCAGCAGCUUCGAGACAGCAGGCAAAGGGGAGACAUCGCCAAAGCCCCGCCUCAAGGGUCGCGGUGACUUUCUACUCACACUGCUCUUUUUUGAACCGACAGUUUAGCCAGGAAUUAAACUAAAACACACAUUUCAGUCUGAGCCAGACCCACGUCGGACUAAGGAACUCUUCGGUUCAAGCCCCUCUCCCUGCGCACCGCAGCCCUUCGGUGUCGCCUCGGCACUGAGCCACUGCUGUCCUCACUUCCUCCACUGGCAGCUCCCCAGCGAGGGCGGACGACCGUGCGCACGAGCAUACUGGACGGGGCGAGCCUCACCUGGCCGGACCCACGAGUCUCUACUUCCCCAUUGCUCCUUCCACUCUGAGCAACCCUCCAGUCCCGCUUCUUCCUCCAGGAGCCCCCAGAGCUCCCUUAGGGGCCGUCACCUCUGCCACUGCCCGCGGUUCACUGAUGGUGAAACUGAGCUUCAGACAGGUGAAGGGAUUGCUCCCAGUCCCUCAGCCAGAGCGCCUGAUUCUCAGUGCGCAAACCCUGCCCGGGGGCCAGGCCGUCCUACCCUCUGUCAGUACCAAUUUUCUGGAAAUUAGUUGUAUGAAUUGAAGUCCUGGGGACACAGACAAGAGAUGCCAGUGGGGACAACGAAGAAACCAGGAAGUUAAACAAUUUUAAAUGUCAGAGCAAGGAUGCACAUUUUUCCAGUUCUCACCCAAGUUUCCCCCUGUGACUUUCAUGUGCGAGAUCACUUCUGGAAGCUGUGUCUAGAGCUGAGGGGUCUCUCGGGCUGAGUGGGGCUUUUGUUUGUUUGUUUGUUUUUAUUGUGGUACAACAUAGAGAACAUAAAAUUCGCCAUUCUAACCACUGUUAAGCAUGGCAUUAAUUAUGCUUACGACGUUGUGCGACCAUUACUG